rnacentral:rRNA from 1 species
GACGAACGCUGGCGGCGUGCUUAACACACGCAAGUCGAACGGAAAGGCCCUGCUUUUGUGGGGUGCUCGAGUGGCGAACGGGUGAGUAACACGUGAGUAACCUGCCCUUGACUUUGGGAUAACUUCAGGAAACUGGGGCUAAUACCGGAUAGGAGCUCCUGCUGCAUGGUGGGGGUUGGAAAGUUUCGGCGGUUGGGGAUGGACUCGCGGCUUAUCAGCUUGUUGGUGGGGUAGUGGCUUACCAAGGCUUUGACGGGUAGCCGGCCUGAGAGGGUGACCGGCCACAUUGGGACUGAGAUACGGCCCAGACUCCUACGGGAGGCAGCAGUGGGGAAUAUUGCACAAUGGGCGGAAGCCUGAUGCAGCAACGCCGCGUGCGGGAUGACGGCCUUCGGGUUGUAAACCGCUUUCGCCUGUGACGAAGCGUGAGUGACGGUAAUGGGUAAAGAAGCAACGGCUAACUACGUG